rnacentral:sRNA from 1 species
GCUGAGCAUGGUGGCGCACAUCUGUAAUCCCAGUGACUUGGGAGGCAGAGAUAGGAGAAUCGAGAGUUCAAAGCCAGCCUCAGAAAAAGUGAGGUGCUAUGCAACUCAGUGAGACCCUAUCUCUA